rnacentral:lncRNA from 1 species
GGUGAUAGCACAGUUGUUUUUAAUGUUUAAUUAGGUUAUCAAAUAUUUCAUAGAUUCCAAUAGCUGAGCAUCUGUAAUCAACAAAUAUGAGCUAAUGAAGCAAGAGGUCCAAAAUUAUCAAGAAAUAAUGUAAUCUUGAGCCACUUGUAAAACAAAGGUACAAAAUCAUCCCUUUAUAUUACAUUUAUAUGAUAACUCUCUUUAUGUUAUAAAAUCCCCAAGGGAUAAACAGAGAUGCUGCUAGUGUGUUACUGGAUGUCUCCUCACCACAUCCUUGCCCUUGCCUCUGCCUUUUCCUCUUCAUCCAUACAGACAUUUUUAUUACAUGUUAAGUGUCGGGCAAGGCUCUGGCAACACAAAAAGGCUUUGACUAUUAACAUCUUUGAUGAGAGUACUGUGCAGUUGGAGAGACAAGACAUUUAUAUAGGUAUAGCACCUGAAUCACUGUAAGUGUCCAUUCAAAAUAUAUUGAGUCCCUAACUAUUCUAAUUGUAAGAAGAAACCAUUCCAGAAAUAAAGCUGCUCUCUUCACAGUGCAACGCUGCUUAAAAGAUGGUAUGGAAAUCACCCAUGGCAACCCUAAAAGCAAAAUAAACAAACACAAAUGUGCUCUUAUGCAACUCGGCUGGUGCCAGGAAAGAAACGAGGGGUGGGAGCUUCAUCCAUG